rnacentral:rRNA from 1 species
UACGGAGGGUGCAAGCGUUAAUCGGAAUUACUGGGCUUAAAGCGCACGCAGGUGGCUGAGUCAGUCGAUUGUGAAAGCCCUGGGCUUAACCUGGGAAUUGCAGUCGAUACUACUCAGCUAGAGUAUGGGAGAGGGUAGUGGAAUUCCCGGUGUAGCGGUGAAAUGCGUAGAUAUCUGGAGGAACACCGGUGGCGAAGGCGGCAUCCUGGACCAACACUGACGCUGAGGAGCGAAAGCCAGGGGAGCAAACGGG